GAAAGAGAGAGAGAGAGAGAGAGAGAGCAGCCACUGACUCUCCAGCGGCAGAAGUUCACGGCCCCAGCCAGGCGCCUAAGCCAGCUUCUUCCCCAACCGCAGCGAGGACAGCCUCACGGGCGGUUUCUAUUUGGUGAUGAAGGAAAACCAAAUAUACCACAGCCCCUGCAGAGGACAGAGGAGAAGUUGAGUCCCAGAAAUAGAAAGCGAUGGCCUUGGGAACUAGGGGGCUGGAGCCUGGGGCCCAGGGCCUCCUGUUCCUGCCUGCCUCCCCACCAUCAGCCCUGGGGACCCCUAAGCGGCUAUUUCUAUUCCACUGAUGAAAAUCCACAGUGCACAGAAGAGAAGGUUAAGGUCAUCCCUGCCUCAGGGCCUUUGCAGCAGCAGCUCUCCCGGUUGCUCCCCUUCCUCAAGAUGUCUUGCCUGCUGCACGUCUGUAUACCACAUGUGUGCCUGGUGCCUGCAGAGGUUGUAAGAGAGCGUCAGAUCCCUUGGAACCGGAGCUACGGACAGUUUCGGGCCACGGCAUUGGUGCUGAGAACCAAACCUGGGUCCUCUGCAAGAACAGCAAAUGCUCCUAACCACUGAGCCACCUCUCCAGCCUCCACAGGCUGCUGUUUUUAAUUUACCAGCCUAUCUACCAUUAUGUCCAAGACAGAAGGGCCUGCCUUCUUGGAACUCACCAUUUACUGAUCAUAGUUGAUCAGGAUAAAUCAAUCAGUAAUCUGCCAAUCAAUGGUGUCCAUCUCCUCUCUGAGGCAGGCAGGCUGCAGCUCUGUCGUCUUUUGGGAUCAAAUACAAUGCAUUUAAGGAAGAGCCCGUCUGCUGAACACCCGCUCUGGGGGCCUGCUUCCGAUUGGGACAUGACAGGGAGCUGAAAGGACCUGCGUGGACACUGUGACUCCCCACACGAGGAUGUGGGGUUAGUCCUGUCCCCGAUUCCCUGGGCUGGCUCUUGGCAGAGCGUGUCCCAUGGAGGUCACAGCUUCUGUCCUUGGCAAGCCCCACUGCAGGUCCGGUGCUCUCACUGGGGUGAUGACACUCGGAUAUCAUCUUUGGCCAUGAUCGCACGGCUGUAUGUCCACGGCCAUGCUGGGCUUCCGCUGACACACUGGGACUGGCCCAGAAGCAGCCUCUCCCCUAGCGCCCAGCAGCGACAGGAACUCCUGGGAAGGGAAGGGCUUCACCCUGCACUUCCCCUUUUGGGUCCUUUUAAAAAUAAACGAUGAGUUGCAAGUUGGAAGGCCUCAGUUAGUAACUUCCAGCCACAAGCGGGAAGGAAACAGCAGGUGCUCACGGCCCAGCUUUGCGCCAUACCCAUCCAGGAACGUUCUGGAAUCCUGUGUGCUUUACAGUGGAAGCUGCUGUCUUCCCCUCUCCCACCUCACCUCUGGGGUCACAGGAAGGAGGAGAAGCUAUGUGAGCCAAGGCAGGGCGCAGGUGGCCAUUCUCUGGGAACAGGCCCACAAACCACCCCGCCUUGCUCCUGGAUCUGAAGGGAAAAAAAGCUCCAGGGAACAUGGCGGUAUUAAGAAGGGGCCGGAGAUGUCCCUGGAGGCCAGGCAGGCACUGUGAAGGGGCCAGUGUCCAGAGAGCAGGCAAAGCCAGGGGAACCUGGAGCCUGAACUCUGGACAGUCUGUCCUUGUGCUCACCAGCCAAUGCCUGAGCACCUACUGUGCGCUGGGCAGGGCCAGCACCAUGGAGACACACUGUGUGCUCUCAGAAUGGGGGCUGUGGGAGGGGUAGACAGUGUGGGCUGUGUCAUGCUAGAGAAUCCAAGGACCCUCCCUACCCCAAGUCCAGAGAUGAUGUGGACAUGGUAGAAAGGGCUUGUUGGGGAAACGACCUUCAGGGGAAAGUCGAUGGAGCCGUUGGGGUCUGGGGUGGGCAGCUGGAGGUCAUGUGACAGCAGGGGCAAGGGCUCCAGGCAGGAUCAGGCCUUUCCUGAGCCACAGAGGCCAGCACAGUAGAAGCCAGGGAAGGAAGAGAGUAUUAUGAGGUAGGAGGAGGCCCAAGGCUGGGGCCAGGGCAGGCAUGGCCUCAUGGGACAGCCCAAGGACGUAAGAGGUGGCCCUGUGCCAAGCCACGUUCUAGGACAGCGGACUGUGGGGCUGGAGGGCAAGGUAGAAGAGAGAAAUCCGGGCAGGGACAGAGCUAGAACCAUAGGCCCUGUACAUCAACCGCCACGCACAACAGGGGGGCCCAGGGAGAUGCACCCGAAUCAGAGGCACACAUGUGUGGGCCGUGGCCGUUCAGCCCCUCCCCCACACGCCCACCUACAGCCCUGCAGAGACAUACACUUCCCAUCCCUGAUGGUCCCAAGUGUAUUCUGGAUGUACGGUCCACACCCAGACCCUACACAAGUGGGCGAAGCAAUGCGGUGUGCAACCCACACACACGUGGACAGCCACGCACAUCCACACGGGCGCAUUCUGUGAAUAUAUGGAGACUCAACCCAUACAGCAACCCCCCAAUAUAGGACACACACAUACUCAUACAUUUACAUACAUAUACCAUACCGCACGGCACACACCAGUCAUAAAUCACAUACACACACAGCCCAUACGACACAGCACACUCUCAUCCCCAUGCCUACUACCACACAACACACCCCACAUACACACACAGCACAUACGCAUACAUAGUGUAUCAUACCACACACACACCAGUCAUACAUCAUCACACAGACACACACACACACAUGUACCUAGUGACUCAUCGUCUGCGUCAGAAACCGUGUUGAUCUGCUUCUGACUUCAGAGCGGAGACCCUGCCACUUUGGAUUUGGGGUGCCGUUUCUGCUUCCCGCUGCUCGGCUUGGUUGGCCUCUCAGGGCUCAGGGACCACAAACCCGCCCGGCAGAGCAGCCACCUGCUCUGGGGCCAGACGCAGGCUGUAUUAGCUGUCAUCACACUAAUAACGAGGUCUGAUCUGGGGCCAAGAAGAGCCCACGGGGCACCUUCCCGGAACAAGGGAGUGCUCAUACACUGGCACGCACACCCACACGCCCUCUGUCCCAAGCAGGGCGUGUGGGAAAGGGGCAGACCCAUGUGGGAAGGAAGGACUGAAACUCUAUGGGGACCUGUGAGUCAGCACAGGGAUGGGACAGUUAGUGGGUGUGUCCCUUGGCUCCAGAGGGAUGAGGAGAUGGAAGUCUAGAUAAAGUCCGGAAGGCAGGUGGGUUAGUCAGGGCUCUCCGACCAGACUCACAAGGGACCAAACCCCAGCACAGAUCAAUUCAAGCUCAGAGGAAUUCAGUGAGUCACAUUAAAGACAUUUUAGAGACGGGUUGCUUCAGGCACAGCUGGAUCCAGGUGUUUGGAUGACCCGUGCUUCCCACAGCUCUGGAAAACAGCUCAGUGGAUGUUAGCUGUUAACUUCUGAUGGCGGCAGCUGCCAACGCCACUACGACCACAAUAAUCUGCCAGCCCAGGAGCCAUAGGGAAGCCAUGUUUUUCCUCCACUACACAGGCUCCCACAGGAGCUGGGUCACAGGCUGGAGGCAGCCUGCUGUCCCUGGUAGACCCUAUGCCUGCAAAUCCCCCAGCAGAAGGGCGGCAUCGGGGCCAGAUAGGCCUGGAAUUCAGGCUUGAUUCUGUUCUUAAGUAGCAUCGUCGCCCCAUGCCUCAG